rnacentral:rRNA from 1 species
UAGGGAAUCUUCCGCAAUGGACGAAAGUCUGACGGAGCAACGCCGCGUGAGCGAUGAAGGCCUUCGGGUCGUAAAGCUCUGUUGUUAGGGAAGAACAAGUACCGGAGUAACUGCCGGUACCUUGACGGUACCUAACCAGAAAGCCACGGCUAACUACGUGCCAGCAGCCGCGGUAAUACGUAGGUGGCAAGCGCUGUCCGGAAUUAUUGGGCGUAAAGCGCGCGCAGGCGGUCCUUUAAGUCUGAUGUGAAAGCCCACGGCUCAACCGUGGAGGGUCAUUGGAAACUGGGGGACUUGAGUGCAGAAGAGGAGAGUGGAAUUCCACGUGUAGCGGUGAAAUGCGUAGAGAUGUGGAGGACACCAGUGGCGAAGGCGACUCUCUGGUCUGUAACUGACGCUGAGGCGCGAAAGCGUGGGGAGCGAACAGGAUUAGAUACCCUGGUAGUCCACGCCGUAAGCGAUGAGUGCUAAGUGUUAGAGGGUUUCCGCCCUUUAGUG